GUUGUCGGUUUUUUUUCCAUCGACUGUCCAACUUUCGUGUUCUUACGGUGCCAACACUCGAUAUCUGAGCUAGAGUUAAUUUCCGAACCACUCAUUCUAUUCUCCCUUUCAAACAUAUCCUUUCAUUCCAAUCGCCAUUUGCACUUCGACUCGCCCUUUGAAUUAACUCUGGAAUAUUGUAUCUCACUCAACCACGUCAACUUUUAUUCUUUCACUCAUGCAUAUUCUGGCACCCAUCCCACGUCAUUGUCAACAUUCUGGACCAUGUCUUUCUGUCCCUGUUCAUCUCAAAAGCAUCUCCCAUACUGAGACGUUUGAGAGGGACCAAAGAAUGUCUCUCGCAUAAUGCGGUAAAUAAUAAAAAUAUUCCCUAAGGAAUUCAAUUUUAUCACCCUGGUGGUUAAAAUCUGAAACCCCAGUAUUAUGCAAGACUCCGAAUACACAACAUUCGGUUCCGAUGACGCGCAUUCAUACAUAUCCACAUUCGGCCGCACCGUACAUACAUUACAUUGCCUUACCACAAACGAUCAGUUUCUAAUCCGAAUCCAUCUUAUCGUUUCUGGCAGCACGGCCUCGUUUGGAGACGUCAACCGGCGAUGACGUCAUUCCUAUCCGGAAUGAUCAAUAUUUUAUGUAAACAAACCGGAAUGGAAACUCGCCGUUCACAUUCCGGUUUUCGCGAUUUUUUUUGGUUUUCGUGACGGUUUCUCGCGGCGAAAAUACGCUGCGCGUGCGUGUUUAUCCCCAUAGAAAGGGGAAAAGUGUUUUGUGCGAACAAGAAACGCCCAAACAAGGCAAAAAUUUGUAAAAAGUCCCCGCUGAAGAGGGGUGAAAACUAAGUCAAUGGCCCCGAACAAGGCGAAGUGAUAUGUUUUUGGUUGUUUGCCUGCUGUUUCCAAGUGCCUGUGCGUGGGUGUUUUCCCAAAAGGAGCGGAAAUCUAUUCCGGCAAUAAUUAAACUUUACACCGUCACGACUGAUUUUGGAACAGAAAGCAAAACUUCAGCGGAACGAUUUAUUACUCCGCCACUAGUGCGAAGCACGCAAAACGUCAACGAAGGUAAUGAAGAACCUUCUAACGGCGGUGUAAGUCUCCCUUUUUACUAUUCACUAGAAGUAGGUAGAGCAAGGCAUAAAUGGACCGACAGUCCCAAAUGUAAUCCGGCGGUCGCCUUUGAAAUGUUCCCAAAUGAACAAUCCGUUUAAAGGCAGGCCGCCGGUAUAAAAUUGUACCAGUUUAUGCUGGUUUGAGAAGAUUUGCUGGCCAGACACCAAGAUUUUUCCCGGUAGGAUCAACCAACUCGUAGGACGAAGACCCCUUUUUGGCGAGAACUUUCGCCGAUCACCCUCCCCGGAAAUCCUGGAGUAGUCAUCCCCUGAUGCCAUUUCGCAACCAUGGACGACGAAAUGAGGACUAAACCCGGUAGACGAAUGAACCGUGGUAUUUAGGAUGCGUUCCACAUCAGAAAUGCGGGCAUCCCAGUUGCGCUGGUCCGUGCGGGCGUACGCGCGUAUUGCCGUAUUUAUAGAACGAUUCGUUCGUUCUACCGGGAACCGGCUGAAUUCUUUGGAGAUGAACGUCGAACCAUUAUCGCUCAACAGGAUUUCCGGACUUCCAUGGCGGUUGAACCAUUGUUCGCGAAGGGUCGCACAAAGUGAGGCGCUGCAAAUUUUGCGAACGGGGGUCAACAUUACGUACUUGCUGAAGACGUCGAGGACGACUAGCAAGUGUUGAUUGCCCCGUUUGCUUCGAGGAAGUGGGCCUAUGUAGUCCACCGAAAUCAUCUGCCACGGAGCACCGGUUGUGCGUGACUGACCCAUUUCUGGUUGGACUGAGGUAAAUGGUGCUUUCAUCUCUUUGCAGGUCCCACAUUGGCGAAUAUAUUCGCGAACUUCUGGUCCCAUACGAGGCCAAAAAUAGCGUUCUUGAACCUCGUGAAUCGUUUUACCAUAACCCACAUGAAGCAAUUCAUCGUGGGUAUGUUGCACGAUUUCUUCCCGACACUCGGGAGUUGGGACCAAUUUCCAACGAAACCGAGAGUCGAAUGGUACACUUUUCGAGGCCACGUAUUUGAAAAGUUUACCAUCUUCGACUUUAAAGUCAGGAUAAUCAUCAGGAUUAGCUGAAACUUUAGACUUCAUGGAACAAUACCAGUCUGAAGUGGACAAUGCCGAAAUGGCAGCUACAGCACGGGAUAAGGCAUCCGGAACGACAUUGUCCUUACCUUUCCGGUGCUCAAUGGACAUGUCGUAGAGUUGUAGUUCCAAACUCCACCGACUCAGGCGCGAACUGGUCUUCCAUUUGGUCUUCAGUAUCCAGGUAAUGGCUGAUGAAUCAGUGACAAGUCGAAAAUGAUAACCUUCCAAGUAACCUCGGAAGUGUUCAACCGCCAUAAUCACCGCCAGACCUUCCUUUUCGGUAGCGUGGUAAUUCCGUUGGGGAGUGGUUAGCUUAUGUGAAAAAUAAGCUACCACUUUUUCCCCCUCUGGAUGUUGUUGCACCAGAACAGCCGCGACAGCAGUGUCACUGGCAUCUGUCUGCAGAAUAAAUUCCUUUGAAAAAUCUGGCGGGACAAGCACUGGAGGAGUGACUAAAAGUUCCUUUAUCUUCAGGAACGCGAGUUCUGCUUCGGAGUUCCAGCCAAUAUUCUUGGCCUUUGUUUUCAAGAGGUCUGUCAAAGGUGCGGUUACCUCACUAAACCGAUCAAUGAAACGCCGGUAGUAACCGCACAUUCCAAGGAAUCGGCGCAGUUUAGUAACCGUCACCGGCCGCUCGUAAUCGAGUAUCGGCUGAAUUUUGUCAGGAUUGACUUUUAGACCUUCCUGAUUCAACAAAUAGCCAAGAAAUUUUAACUCUGGAACCCCAAAACGGGAUUUAGCCAGGUUUAUCGUCAGAUUGGCUUUGGCUAGACAUUUGGCCACCUCUUUGAGUAAUUGUAGGUGAUGCUCGAACGUUUCGCUUACCACGAUGAUAUCAUCGAGGUAAACGAAGACGUACGGUUCCAGUUUUCCUCGUCCUAACACCUGGUCCAUCAGACGUGCCAAAGUGGCAGGGCUGUUAACGAGACCGAAGGGUAGACGAGUAAAUUGGAACAUACCCCUGCCGGGGACACUGAAAGCAGUAAACUUACGACUGCCCUUAGCCAACGGAACCUGGAGAAAAGCCUCCUUUAAGUCUAUUGUAGACAGGUACUUGGCUUUAGGCAGACUUCCUAAAAUGCGCCCGGGAUGGGGCAGAGGGUAUGCAUCACGUACUGUACGCUCAUUAAGAGGCCGGGCAUCUAGACAAAGCCGAAUAGAGUCGUCUGGUUUGGUCACAGCGACAAUAUUCAAAAACCAAUCGGAAUCUGACUCUUCAAUAAUACCCAUAGAACGCCAACGGUCGACUUCUUCCCAGACUUUAGACAGUUUUCUUGGGUUCAUUUUAUAAGGAUAUCGGCAAACAGGCGCGGCACUUUGGAAUUCUUCCUUAAUUACGAUCCUGUGCUCUGUUAGCGAGGUCGUAUUUAAUUUUCCGGGCACUACAGCCUGAAUACAGGUCGUAACCUGUACGAUACAGGCCAUCUGAUCCGGAGUAAGUAUAGACUCACUCGGAGCAUCAAUCUCUACUUCUUCGUCCCGUUCCGAACCUGAGUUCAACAGAGCACAAGUUUGCAACUCGGGUGUUAUUCCAAAGGCGCGCCAAAAGUCCAUACCGAGUAUUGAAGAAACUGUUAAUUGCUCCACUACAAGGGUGCAAAUAACCUUUGUCUUGUUUUGGAAAGUGUACGGAAGAUAUAUUUGUCCAAGGAUCGGUAAGGUCUGUCCAUUUGCUGAACGAAGUUCAACUGGCCUUUCCAAACCUUUCAAUGGACUUUUGGAAAACUUUCGGUACAACUUUUCGGUGAUAAUGGUGGCAUUACUACCACUGUCGAGCAAAGCCUUGAAGGAAUGGCCAUAUACUGCGAUAAAAACGAAAGGACGAUUAUCGGACGGAUCAUCGAGGAUGAUGGUUUCAACAAACAACGGAUCACGAUAAUCCUCAUCAUGAGCUGGUCGAAAACUGUUGUAAAUUUGGGGGUCUAAUUUUAGGCUUUCUAUGGGGCGCACAUCCUUACACAACUGCGACUUUAGUUGGUACGAAUCCCGUUUUUUAAGCAGUAGGGACAGCGAGAGACAUCGAAACCCUUGAAUCCACACAAAAUACAGAAGAUUCGUCUUGGAUUUCUGCACGCCUCAUGCUCGUGUCCAGUACCACCGCAGUUGUAACAGACUCCGAGACUAGGAGGUCGAUGCUGUUCCACCAGAUAGUCGAGACAAAUCACCGGCUUUUGUUUGGAUUCCGGUUUCGAAUUUCUCUCGACAAGAUUCUUUUCCGUCUGAACACCUGGCUUUUUCUUCGUGUUUUCAGACGGCGUUUUGGAAGCAAAAUUAUCCUUUGGGGAAUUUUUGCUCCAAAAUGUUUUGGUUUCAACGUGGCUGUUAUUCGAACCACCUCCCUUUCCGUUUGGUUGGUCCUUUUUCGAGGGGUUAACCGGCGGAUUUACCGAAUAAGCAGCGACUUCCUUUUGAGAACCGAACACUUUUCGGUAAAUCGGUGUUUUGUACGCAUCAACCAAUUUACCUAAAGUCAUCAAUUCUGCAAGCGUACUUACUGGCUUUGAAAUUAAAACUUGCUUAUAGUCCGGCCUGAGGUUCCGCUUGAGCACGUCGAGUUUUUCGCUCGGUGUCAUGGGAACCGUCAUAGCACGAAAUAUUUUUUCCAUUUCCUGGAAAUAGUCCAGGAAACACUCGUUUCGCAUCUGCAGGCGCUGGGAAACCUUUGAUUUGAGAGCGGUGUCAAGUUCCGGAUGAACGAAAUUUGCCUUAAGCUCACAAACCAAAUGGUUCCAGUUGUAAAGCCUGUUCUGCGAUCUCAUAGCCCGAUACCAAGUAAGAGCAUUGUCAGUGAGUAGGUGCAUUGCAGAAUUGAACAGCUCCUCCUCUGAAAUUUGCUCGCACUGAGCAUAUUUUUCAACGGAGUCCAGAAAUUCAUUCAGUCCUAGCCCAUCAUCUGUCCCAGCGUAUUUCUCGAUUUUCCAAUCGGAAACACGCUGUGGUCGACGAUUGUAAUGGUAGCCCGAGCAGGAUGGUAAUUCAUUACCCGUACGAUUGG